AGAGUUUGAUCCUGGCUCAGGAUGAACGCUGGCGGCGUGCUUAACACAUGCAAGUCGAACGAGAAUCAUUGGAUCAAGGAUUCGUCUGAGUGAAGGUGAGGAAAGUGGCGGACGGGUGAGUAACGCGUGAGCAAUCUGCCUUGGAGUGGGGAAUAACGGCUGGAAACAGCCGCUAAUACCGCAUGAUGUGUCUGUUUCGCAUGGGAUGGACACCAAAGAUUUAUCGCUCUGAGAUGAGCUCGCGUCUGAUUAGCUGGUUGGCGGGGUAACGGCCCACCAAGGCGACGAUCAGUAGCCGGACUGAGAGGUUGGCCGGCCACAUUGGGACUGAGACACGGCCCAGACUCCUACGGGAGGCAGCAGUGGGGAAUAUUGGGCAAUGGGCGCAAGCCUGACCCAGCAACGCCGCGUGAAGGAAGAAGGCUUUCGGGUUGUAAACUUCUUUUCUGAGGGACGAAGAAAGUGACGGUACUCAGGAAUAAGCCACGGCUAACUACGUGCCAGCAGCCGCGGU
rnacentral:rRNA from 1 species